rnacentral:sRNA from 1 species
CAUUAAAUUGCUUCAAGUGGAGCCACUCUGAAUGUCCUUUCUCUGCUCCAUGCCAGCAUCUUCUAAGCCUUCAGUUCCUGUAUUUUCAUUGGAUUACAUGGCGUCUCUCAGCAAACUCCUUUCUUGGGCCAUCACACCUGCACAAUGAACUGAGCUGAUCAGGGAAGGCUUGGUGAAGGAAGUAAGCAGAGAUGGAUUUGGUACAGGAGAGCAUGCUCAGGAGAAAGGGACUCUCAGAGAGAAUCAUCUGAGAGCAAGGAGCCUCGGUUGAGCAAAAUGCCUGAAUAAUAUUGGGCAAGCCUGAGGAGCUUUUAUCUUGAUCAAUUUUCUUGAUUGAAGACUGCUGUGCGAAGAUGCCAGUAACUGUGAGAGAUGCUAAAUCUGGGUUGGUUGGUCCCGGGUUGUCGAAGAAGAGAAACUGAGCAGGAGGAGCAAAAGCAUCUUAGUAUCUGCAGUUGAACACGUGACACCGGAAACUGAAGUCCUGACCGUAGUCCCUAAAAGCUGAGGACGCCCGCGGAGGACUCGGUAGCUCAUGCGUCCCAGCCUGAGGAGCAUGACGCCUUCUGAGACCCUAACAGAGCUGUUGUCUUUGGAGAUGGCUUUAGUUUCUGCAGCUUCAGCUUUCUCUAGGAUCAGAGCCACACUCUGCAGCGAAGGCUGCCAAGCCAAACUUUCCCCUAGGUUCGAAAGCACGUGUUUACCCACGUGCAGACCCGAGCCCCGGUGUCCUGCCGUAACUGCAUCUGUAAAACCUCUUUCUCAAAUAUUACUCUUUGCCUCUGUGGAAAAACAGCAUCUUUAGCAAAAAGGACAAGUGGGCAAAGGUCUCCCCUGUCGCCCCCCACACCACUGAGGGGUGGCGUUUAAAAAUGGAAGUGGCUUGUGUAACCUGCUUUUCUUUGGCUUAAAAUAACAGUUUGUAAGAUCUGCAUUUGUUUUUCAUUCUCGGCCCUGUGACCUUCUGCUCCUGUUUGACUUGAUAAAUUCCAUCUCUCCUUCCACAGGCUGGGAUUCGGGCCUGAGUGCUUCCUGACCUAUUUCAUCAACCUGGUUUUAGGUAAGUCUCCAGUUCCCCAGACUGGGAAUUUUGAACUGCA